rnacentral:rRNA from 1 species
UGCGCAGGCGGUUAUGUAAGACAGAGGUGAAAUCCCCGGGCUCAACCUGGGAACGGCCUUUGUGACUGCAUGGCUAGAGUACGGUAGAGGGGGAUGGAAUUCCGCGUGUAGCAGUGAAAUGCGUAGAUAUGCGGAGGAACACCGAUGGCGAAGGCAAUCCCCUGGACCUGUACUGACGCUCAUGCACGAAAGCGUGGGGAGCAAACAGGAUUAGAUACCCUGGUAGUCCACGCCCUAAACGAUGUCAACUGGUUGUUGGGUCUUAACUGACUCAGUAACGAAGCUAACGCGUGAAGUUGACCGCCUGGGGAGUACGGCCGCAAGGUUGAA